CAGAGUUCUAAGCUGUUGGGAAGGAGUUUCCAGGGAGAGUCUGGACCUGAAGGUGAAACUUGGAGGGUGUAUGUGCCUAGACUCUGCCUAGACAGGAUCAUCUUGAAAGCUGACUGCCUCUGAAAGAAACAUCAAGACUGAGAGAAGAUUUCCCAUACAUUUCUGGUGGACAGAGUGUUUAUGAAGGAGUCUUCUCUCUCUCCUCUGGGACACCUGAGGAUCCAAUAGCUGGAUGCCUCUUACUUAAUAUGCCAAGGACUCUACUUGUGAUAUUCUGGUCCCUGUUGAAUUUAUUCUUUAGUUUAGAAAUAACCAACAUAGCUUCAUUGCUCACUGCACUGUCACCACGACAUCCCCCUCCUAACCCUGAUCCUUCUUUCCAUGAAGAUUCACAUUCCAAAGUAGGUAUGUGUCAUUCCUGGGCUAAUCUCCUUCUGAUGAGGGAAACAGAAAGAAUUUUCACUAGGACGUUUCAAGGAUCCUAUUCAAGCUUCUCUGGAUAGUUCUAAUAUGGACAUAGUCAUUUGUAUGUUGUGUCCCCUUUUCAAUUGUGAGCUUGAAAGCAGGGACACUGUUCCUGCUUCUCUUUGUAUCCCCAGUGUUUAUCACUCCACCAGGCCCAAAGUAGGUUAAGCCAUAGCGAGCUUAAGAAAUGGAUUUGUUGACUUACUUAGAGCUGGAAUACCUGGCUUUCAAAUGAUACCUCCCAGCAUACAUACCUCCACUAUUUGUUGGUAUAGGAGAAAGGUGAAAUGUUUUAGAAUGAGAGGUGCAAGGCAUAAACUUUGCCUCAGGGAAUAAAUGUGAAGAGAGUGGAACA
rnacentral:lncRNA from 1 species